UACGUAGGUGGCGAGCGUUGUCCGGAAUUACUGGGUGUAAAGGGCGUGUAGGCGGGUAAGCAAGUCAGAUGUGAAAUACCGGGGCUCAACCCCGGGGCCGCAUUUGAAACUGUUUAUCUUGAGUGCAGGAGAGGGAAGCGGAAUUCCUAGUAUAGCGGUGAAAUGCGUAGAUAUUAGGAGGAACACCAGUGGCGAAGGCGGCUUUCUGGACUGUAACUGACACUGAGGCGCGAAAGCGUGGGUAGCAAACAGGAUUAGAUACCCUGGUAGUCCACGCCGUAAACGAUGGAUACUAGGUGUAGGAGGUAUCGACCCCUUCUGUGCCGGAGUUAACACAAUAAGUAUCCCACCUGGGGAGUACGGCCGCAAGGUUGAA
rnacentral:rRNA from 1 species